UAUCAGAUGAUAUAUUUAUUCCCAAAGAUUCUGCAGCACUAAAUCUUAGUAAUGAUUCUGAAUCUAUGUCCUAUGUUGGGUCACCUAGUUAUUAUUAUAAAUGUCCUAAGAGAAAGAACAAUGAUAUGGAUGACUAUAGGAAAUUAAUGAAAAUUAGAAUAUAAAGCAUUAAUAACCUUGGAAAUGCUUAAAAAUAAAUCAACAGAACGUGCAAUAUGUUUAAUGUUAAAAGAAAAAUUA